rnacentral:rRNA from 1 species
GCAGUGGCAGACGGGUGAGUAACACGUGGGAACCUACCUAGGGGUACGGAAUAACUCAGGGAAACUUGUGCUAAUACCGUAUACGACCUUCGGGUGAAAGAUUUAUCGCCCCUAGAUGGGCCCGCGUUGGAUUAGCUAGUUGGUGGGGUAAAAGCCUACCAAGGCGACGAUCCAUAGCUGGUCUGAGAGGAUGAUCAGCCACACUGGGACUGAGACACGGCCCAAACUCCUACGGGAGGCAGCAGUAGGGAAUCUUGGACAAUGGGCGAAAGCCUGAUCCAGCCAUGCCGCGUGAGUGAUGAAGGCCUUAGGGUUGUAAAGCUCUUUCGCCAGGGAAGAUAAUGACGGUACCUGGAUAAGAAGCCCCGGCAAACUUCGUGCCAGCAGCCGCGGUAAUACGAAGGGGGCUAGCGUUGUUCGGAAUUACUGGGCGUAAAGCGCACGUAGGCGGUUUUCCAAGUUGGAGGUGAAAUCCCUGGGCUCAACCCGGGAACUGCCUCCAAAACUGGAUGACUCGAGUCCGAGAGAGGUGAGUGGAAUUUCCAGUGUAGAGGUGAAAUUCGUAGAUAUUGGAAAGAACACCAGUGGCGAAGGCGGCUCACUGGCUCGGUACUGACGCUGAGGUGCGACAGCGUGGGGAGCAAACAGGA